AUUGAACGCUGGCGGCAUGCCUUACACAUGCAAGUCGAACGGCAGCGGGGACCUCGGUCCGCCGGCGAGUGGCGAACGGGUGAGUAAUGUAUCGGAACGUACCAUUCAGUGGGGGAUAACUAUCCGAAAGGAUAGCUAAUACCGCAUAUUCUGUGAGCAGGAAAGCAGGGGAUCGCAAGACCUUGCGCUGAUUGAGCGGCCGAUAUCAGAUUAGCUAGUUGGUGAGGUAAAGGCUCACCAAGGCGACGAUCUGUAGCGGGUCUGAGAGGAUGAUGCGCCACACUGGAACUGAGACACGGUCCAGACUGCUACGGGAGGCAGCAGUGGGGAAUUUUGGACAAUGGGGGCAACCCUGAUCCAGCCAUGCCGCGUGAGUGAAGAAGGCCUUCGGGUUGUAAAGCUCUUUCGGCCGGGAAAAAAUCGCAUGGGUUAAUACCCUGUGUGGAUGAUGGUACCGGAAUAAGAAGCACCGGCUAACUACGUGCCAGCCGCCGCAGUAA
rnacentral:rRNA from 1 species